rnacentral:rRNA from 1 species
CCUACGGGUGGCUGCAGUGGGGAAUAUUGCACAAUGGGCGCAAGCCUGAUGCAGCCAUGCCGCGUGUGUGAAGAAGGCCUUCGGGUUGUAAAGCACUUUCAGCGGGGAGGAAGGCGGUGAGGUUAAUAACCUCAUCGAUUGACGUUACCCGCAGAAGAAGCACCGGCUAACUCCGUGCCAGCAGCCGCGGUAAUACGGAGGGUGCAAGCGUUAAUCGGAAUUACUGGGCGUAAAGCGCACGCAGGCGGUCUGUCAAGUCGGAUGUGAAAUCCCCGGGCUCAACUUGGGAACUGCAUUCGAAACUGGCAGGCUAGAGUCUUGUAGAGGGGGGUAGAAUUCCAGGUGUAGCGGUGAAAUGCGUAGAGAUCUGGAGGAAUACCGGUGGCGAAGGCGGCCCCCUGGACAAAGACUGACGCUCAGGUGCGAAAGCGUGGGGAGCAAACAGGAUUAGAUACCCGUGUAGUC